AUGAUACGUCUGAUCUGCUCCAUAGACUGCAGGUCGGGGGACAGACCUGCGGGCGGCACCGUGACACCACACCGUGAGCGGCCGGAGCGGCUUUAUCAAACGGCGCUCGUCCGGACCGCCCCGGCAUACCUCCGUGACAACAGAAGAUCUUCUCGUCCACGAUGGCGGCGAUGGGCAGGCAGUUGAAGCAGUCGGUGAAGGUCUUCCACAACUUGAUGUUGAACCGGCGCUUACCUGAGGGGGGGAGGGGGGGCGCUUCGGCGUAAGUUACCCCGUCUGUGGCGACCGAUCUACAGCGUGAGACGGGCGUACUCACACUCGUCGUAGAAGCCGUAGAUGCGGUUGAUGGAGGCGCACUCGUGGUUGCCCCGCAGCAGGAAGAAGUUCUCGGGGUACUUGAUCUUGUAGGCCAAAAGCAGGCAGAUGGUCUCCAAGGACUGCUUUCCCCUGUCCACGUAGUCGCCUAGGAACAGGUAGUUGGCCUCUGGGGGGAAGCCGCCGUACUCAAAGAGCCUCAGCAGGUCUGUAUACUGCCCGUGGAUGUCACCUGGAGGGAGGGCAGCACGUGCGGGAAGAGCGGACGAGACGCUGAUUGGUCAGGAACGGACAGAGCAAACGGACGGGGAGCGCUCACCACAGAUUUUGAGCGGUGCCUCCAGCUCCAGAAGGAUGGGCUGACUGAGGAAAAUCUCCCGGGACUUGAUGCAAAGGCCCCGCACCUCGGCCUCCGUCAUCUGGACGAUCUUGCCCGGACGACAUCCUCGCACUGGGAGGUGAAAGCAAAAGCGUCACCGGUGCGGCUCCCUCGCCUCCAUUAAACAUUUUGCUGUCAUCAUUCCACAGUGUCACGCCUCAUCCUCUCUGCGCAGGUGAACAUCCGGGUGAUCAUCAUUUUUCCGGUGCUUUUUAACUCAUUCACUGCCAGCCUUCCCAGUUAACAUGGAUAUUUGACUUCUAAAGCCGUCAAUGGCAGUGAAUGUGUUAAGAACAGCAGAGUGUGUGCGCACUUAAAUGUGUCAUAAUGAUACGCCAUUUGUCUUUUACAAGAGGAACAGCAGCAACGCUUCACAUGCUAUCUGCCAAACAGACUGAACCUGAAGAGUGACACACAGACUCAACCAGCAAGGUGCGUGUAUGGGAGCGAGUGAAAGAUGCGCGUGUCGAGCGUGACUUCACCUUCCCUCCCUCUGAGCUGCGUGAUGGCGUGCUUGCAGAACGGGCAGCUGGAUCAACUGACAAGUCAGGACUGAUAUAGGACAAACGCGCACACACAUGGGGAUCGCCUUUCAGCCGCUGGCGUAGACACACACAUGCACGCACGCACGCUUCAAGUUUUUUCGCUCACAGUGACCAGUGACCUUGACUUUGGGACGUACCACUAUGCGCUUCCGACAAGCACCCUUUGUGACAGUUUAAAAAAACCGUGGACGUCUUAUAAACCACUAACACACACACACGCAAGCACACCUUAUUACCAUGGAAACCCAGCAAGACCAAUUUCCAGCAUACAAAAAAUGUGAGCGAACAUUUUGCAAAAUAAAUGUUCGUGUGCACACCGACAGCAAGUCCAACAGAAACCGUACGCCAAAAUACAGAAACAACCUCGAGGGUCUUUUCAGUUUGAAAUGACGUUUGUUUUUUCUUGUGUGCGGAAGACGCAGAGCCGUCAAAGGAGAAGCGAGGCCCCGAUUUCCUCCCCCCUCCUGGCAUCAUCCACUCGCUCGGUUCAUCUGUGCUCAGGCUCUUGAGGGGUCACGGCGGCCAACUGUGUUUCCGAAGAGAGAGAGCGGGCCAGGCCAUAUAUGGGCGUCGCUGUACGGCGGCUUUGAGGAAGUAGGCCGUCAGGGCGAAGAGCUCCCUCCUCUCCUCGCUGGUGGAACGAGAACUACACGAUCCGGCGUAGGGAGCUGUGCGAGCCCAUUCGCAGAAACACGCACGCCGCAUCAGCCCAGCCAAGUUGGCAGAGGGAGUCCAGAGUCACUGUGAGAGGGAGAAAAGGCGACGCCAUUCCUGAACAGGCCGUUUUGUUCUGCCGCUGACAUUUCGAGUAGAAGGAGCGUCUUUGUGAGGCCGAAGAAAGGACCAAACUGAGACAACGGGGGGUGCGUCAUUUCUUUACACUGAGCACCAUUGACGGCUUUAGAAGUCCAAUAUACAUGUUAAUUUACCAUUUCUGUGAUACAAUUAAGUGACUGCUAUUGAGGGGUUACACAUUUCGUUUGUUUUCAAAUUUUCAAUGUUUAUUAACCAACUGACUAACAGGCCGUAGCGCCGGCGCGGUAGGAACUGAAAACCUCGGCACUCGCCGCCGCUUAGUAUCAGGAACAGCUGUGUGUGCUGACAUUUACCAGGACAUCUCUGCAGCUAUGUGCACCCAUGUGCCCGUCAACAGUGAAACAAAACACCCCCCCUGCCCCAAAAUGUAUUUCGGGCUGGAGACUGCGACGGGAUGCGCAACGUUCAAAUGCUUUAAAUUAGAUGACAAUUAUAAUAAAUGUAUGACUGCAAUUGCCUGGAUUUUGGCCGAUUGCAGGUGGGUGUGAAGCGUAUCCUCCGCCAUAAACUGAUUCGCUGCGUUCUGAGCUGGUAACAACACUGAGGCUCAAGUCGGUGGCACGGUCAAUGAUGUAACAUGCGCAAUCAAUCUGGAGGAUGCUUAGGCUGUACUGCAAUUGUGCACGUUCAGCGCAAACCGUUCAACGGGAAAAAAACACGGCGGCCGUUUCUCUUGAGAUAAAUAAACGAGCCAGGCCUUCGACCGGCUUCCAACUGCAGUCAAAACCUGUUCAUCGCGGGUUCCAGAAUCACCCACCCGCGAUAGGUGAAAAUCUAUGCGAGCAUAUGGAAUAUACUCUACGUAUUGUUGUGUCUGUGUACAUCCGUGUGGCGUGAGUGUCUGGGCGUGAACUGUGGUCGACAGCAGCCCCUGCACGAGUGAGCGUGCUCGGGUGUCAGCGAAUGCGGCUCUACAGUAAGUAUACGGUAAAAAAGUAAAUAAAUGCAAUAUGGCGAGGAAAAGGGAUUAAUUCCAAGCAAUCGCGAUUCGGAGCAAAAGCAGUGUUUCAUGCAAAACGACACCCAACACGAGAAGUCUGUCGCAUCGCUUUCAAAUCAAACAGAAAUGUUAAUUCCACGCCUUCUAGUGUAAAUAUUCGCAUGUAAACACAAACAAACACGCGCCACAUCCCCUUGGAAGAAAAAAAACUGCUGGAAAAUCCAACAGGCACACCCCAGACUUUAAGUGGUUUCUAUUUACCCAAAACAAACAACAUUGCGGACACUUUCGGCGGCCAUUAUUGACCAAAUUACGGUUUGUAUUUGGGGAUUUAAAAAAAAACUUUGGGGAGUGAGGUGGACCCAAAGCUACCGCCCAUCACCGUGCCGCGUUCAAGAAACGCGAGGAACGUUUUAAAAAGGGGACACCAACUUUUCUGGUUUUAUUUCAUGAUGUCAGUACGUGUCAGGCACUGUACCGCAGUCAAACAUUUGUCAAGACGUUCGUCACGCCAACGCGAAUGACAUUUACUCCACCUAGUGUCGCGGUGCAUAUAGCCUGCGGUCGGUGAACGACAACUUUCUGUCGCCAGGCAAAAACGUCACACAUCGGUGGCGAUGAUUUCGGGUGCCAAUUUAAAAAAAAAAUAAUAAUAAAAGCGUAAACAGAAAACGAAGGGAGGAAAAGGGGCGAACAAAGCUUAAAGGUGCGGUUGUGAUUUCGCCAGCAAGACGUUUUUGUUUUCUGUUUUUCGGCGACGUUAGCAAGUCGAGCAAAGCUUUUUAGCUUGUGGGCAAAAAAAACAAAAACAAACGGAGAGACGCAGCCACGCAUCGCGCGCAAACCACGGAGGAAAAAAGAGCGUCAGACUCACCCUCUAAAAGCCUGGAAAUCAACGAGUCCACAUCCAACUCGCCCUCCGCCAUUUCUGUUCCGAAGAGCUCGCUGGCACCGCAGAGUGAAGGACGCUCGCAAGGUACCGCCUCACUGGCCCCAAACGCACCACCAACCUCCCCCGGGUUUGCCGUUUAUGACAUGCCUCGCGCUGCCUUUAAGGUCCGUCGCAUACGUGGACGCGCUAACGCCACGAGGGGGGUUCGAUUCAAUCGGCCCCAAGUCGAUCGAGAGUGAUCCAAAGUGACUAGGUUUGGAUAUGACGUAUUUGUUACACGUGAACGUGACAGUGACAAGUAAAAGUCGUAUGUCCUACGAUUGAUGCGAGCCCUUGAAGGCAUCAUUUCUUGCUUCUGCCCUCGCCACCUAGACAUCAACUAUACAUAGAACCCGUUUUGAGAGAGAGUUUGUUGGAAUACGUCAGCGCCUCCGCCAUAUUGGAUGUGUCAAUGGCAAGCGGUGUCUUCGGAAUGACGUUUUGUUUUUUGACCCCCCCCCCCCCACACACACACACACACAAAAAAAACUACAUGUUACUAGUGAGCACUCGUUCAGUUGUAUUUUAUUGGGGAAAAAAACAAAUGUAAAGAAUUAAACAGUUUAUGCAUCCUGAUUACAUACUUCAACACCCAUUGAUAUUGUGCUCAAUUUGGUGCGUGCGCCUCGGCCAUAUACUACCAACGUUCAUAAGACACCAGAACGACUUGACAACGAAGUGACUCAGUAAGAUACAGUAAUAUAAGCCAUUUUUUGGCAGAGGAUAAAGAAUAGAUGCCUGUGAGUAUCGUUAUAUUGUCUGUCUACGUGUUGCUGCACCGUUUGUGUUCAAAUAUUCGUUGGGUCUAUUGUUACUCCUGCAAUGUCGAUGAUGAUUUUGUUAGCCUGUCUAUGGCGUUUUGCGUCGUGUCAGCAUUAAGCCAGUGGACUUUUGUUUAGUUUAAACUGCAUUUUGAAUGAUUAUGAAUGAUGAACGUGAUUUUUUUUGGGGGGGCGGUUGUAUUUGGUGACCAACGUUUGAGAACAUAACUGAUCUAAAAUAAAAACGCUCAUAACGUGUUGUGGCAUCCAGGGAUGGGUGGCUGUGGUAUUCCAUUUACUCGCCUACGUCGCCAUCUAGUGGGGAAAAUACGGAGGCGUUCCCUCGCCCUUCCCCUUCCUGUUAACACUUGCCUU